AUCCUUUUGUAGUUUAUAAGCGUGAUGAUUUGAGUUUUCACAUUCACAUGUGAGAUGUGCCUCCCUCAAUCCUUGUUAUGACAUCAACAUAUUACCCAUCUGACU